rnacentral:rRNA from 1 species
GACGAACGCUGGCGGCGUGCCUAAUACAUGCAAGUCGAACGCUUCUUUCCUCCCGAGUGCUUGCACUCAAUUGGAAAGAGGGGUGGCGGACGGGUGAGUAACACGUGGGUAACCUACCCAUCAGAGGGGGAUAACACUUGGAAACAGGUGCUAAUACCGCAUAACAGUGUUUAACACAUGUUAGAUGCUUGAAAGAUGCAAUUGCAUCACUAGUAGAUGGACCUGCGUUGUAUUAGCUAGUUGGUGGGGUAACGGCCCACCAAGGCGACGAUACAUAGCCGGCCUGAGAGGGUGAUCGGCCACACUGGGACUGAGACACGGCCCAG